GUGAGCACUGCUUCCUAACCUCACUGUCCUUAACAGCCUGUGCUUUGCUGAAUUAAGUCAGUGUCUUCUCUUUGACAUACAGCUGCUGCUUCUCAGGGCACAGCAGAGUGCAGCUGGUGGCACAGCUUGUCAGCCAGCACAGUGCUGAUGGUUCUGAAGAGAAGCCAAGGCAGCAAAGAAAUAGCUUUCAGUGCAUUCCUGCUGGAGACCUGCACGGAUGAGCAAGGAGCUUCUGGCAAACCCCAGAUGGAAGAAUGAAGUUUACAGAAUGUGGAAAAAGGGACACACCGCUUGGAAGGAAGGUAGGAGUGCUGUCAGAGUAUGCAGGGAA